CGGCGUACGCUUGUGCACGCGCAUCGAGGAGUACUAAUUAAAUUGGACGAUGCCUGUUUCCUCUCGACAAUACGUACACUCUAAAUUCACGAAUCAUAUCGCUGUGUAGUUGUGCUUCUCAUCCUCUUCCUUCUCUUCUCUAC
ensembl:ncRNA T27F2.5 ncRNA